UGGAAGAGAGUUCAGCUUAGUGGCGAACGGGUGAGUAACACGUGAGCAACCUGCCUUUCAGUGGGGGACAACAUUUGGAAACGAAUGCUAAUACCGCAUAAGACCACAGUGUCGCAUGGCACAGGGGUCAAAGGAUUUAUCCGCUGAAAGAUGGGCUCGCGUCCGAUUAGCUAGAUGGUGAGGUAACGGCCCACCAUGGCGACGAUCGGUAGCCGGACUGAGAGGUUGAACGGCCACAUUGGGACUGAGACACGGCCCAGACUCC
rnacentral:rRNA from 1 species